rnacentral:lncRNA from 1 species
CACACAGAAGGUUUCAAUAGGUUAUGAGAAGUUACAUGAACAGUUUCUUCAGGAUAAGACUUAAGGGAAAUAUAAUUGCCAGUUUGUUUCUGUUUUUCAAGGACAUGGUCCAUUUCAUUUAGGUUAUCAAAUUUGUGGGCAUUACUUCUGAAAAAAAAUUCAUGGACUACCCCCAAGGUUCUACAAAAUAUUUAUUGAAGUUAAGUCUUUAUAGCUGAGUAAAAUGAAGUGCAAUAUGAUGCCUACAGUAACAGUGUAAUUCUUAGUUAAUUAAUCUGAAGACUAAGGUUUUUGCUCAAUUAUUCUAAAUUAAAUUGAGCCAUUUCUACACUCCUCUCUGGAGCACUUAACUAUCAUCAAGCACUGCUCUAGGCACCAUGCAUUCCAAGGCACGGUGGACUUAAGGAGUUCACUUAAGGAGUUCAUGAUACAGUGAUAGUAGUUCAUAAUCUACUCCAAUUUAGUCAACAGUAGUAUCUACAAAGAACUCUGGUGUGUUUGACAAUUGCGCUACACAAAUGAUUCAGAUGCUUUCCAGGAGAAUAAAAUAAUAGACACUGCCUGAGAUGGAACAUAAAGGCAAGAAGAGAUAUUGUUUGAACUGGGUCUUGAUUAAGGAGUAAGAGUUUGCUGCAUAAAGAAAAGUUGGAGGCAGGGAGUGGGGCAAGUGGGUAGGGAUAUUCUACCCAAGGAAACAGACUAAACAAAAGAACACAUACUUACAAAUAUAUCCUUAUACACACAUUCAUAUAUGUUCACCUUUGCUUGACUUUCAGCAUAUUUCAGAGUUUUGAAUCGAGAAUAAGAAGAAAUGUGUUCUCAUCCAAGCUCUGCUAGGAUCUAUUGUAUGACCUGAGCAAGACAUUUAAAGUAUCUGGAUCUAAGUUAUUCCAUUUGUAAAAUGAAAGGGCUAGAUUUCAUGCUGGUUAUUGCCCCCAUCCAGUAGGGAAAAAAAGGGAGGUAUAACUAAACUUAUUUGAUCUAAAUUCAUGAUUUAGGGGAUAUAAGAAUAGUUUGUAAGAAAUGAUCUAAGCUAGCCUACUUUAGUUUCAUAUUAAAAUAAAACAUUUUAGAUUCUCAUCAAUAGGAAAAAAUUGAAAAUUAGAUAUCUUUGUUUUGAAUUGCUUUACUAUUUGAUAAUGCAGAAAUCUUAGACUAUAUAUUUGACAUUUUUCUUUUAAAAUUAAGGUCUUUUUUCCUCAAAGUUCAGGUAAGAAAAGGCACUGCUAAGAGUUGGGAAGUUGACACUUAGUACAUUAUAACACUCUUGUCUGGCUCUGCCUAGGCAAGUGGAGAUGAUAAAGAAUCAGUGUUGUACACAGCCCCAAGUUCCAGGUGACAGAAAGAAUUGAAUGGCUAGAAAUACGGUGAGGAUGUACCAGAUCUCAUGCUCAUAUCUGAAUAUCUGUAGGAUUUGCAUUUGUCAAAUAUGAAAACUUGAGCUCAGAAGCCAUGUAUAAUACCAAAGAUAGCACCAGACAUAUUAUCCUUCCUUCUGUAAAUAUCUUUCUAAGACUUGGAUCUCAAGGUAUUGAUCUUUCGUUCUCUGGUACCUCAUUUGCCCCAUCUGGAGGCAACUGAGCACAACUGAGAUGCAGACCUUAAACUUAAAUUGUGGCAAUCAUAUAGUUAGGUUUUAGAGGAAUUAAUAAUGAAUUACUAGACAAAAAUCUAACUGGUUAAGUCACCAGCUGUCCAGUUUGGGAUAUAUUUGUGUUGGACAUAUUUUUGCAUGUGUGCCUCUAUGUGUGUGUGGGUGUUUAAUAUUCCACAGCUUUUCAAAUUGGAUUUAAAAUGUUUCUUGAAGAAAAAUGAUAAUUUAGUGCUGAUUACCAAAGGUAAUUUUUUUCAUUCUUGAAAUGCUUGAAUAACAUCAGAAUCUCAAACCAUAUUUGAACAUUGGAAUAACUAUUAUAAAAUGGCAUUUUAGGGAAUAGAUUCCAUUUCAGUUGUUUACAAGAAAAGACAUCAAACAUGUAUUUAAGCCAUUCCCUUCACAAAGGUCCAUCAUCUGCUAAUGAUGAAGUUAGGGCCUGUGAUGUUAGAAUUUCUCUGGGGAACAUGGAAGUCCCGUUAUACAUGUAGCAAUCAUCUCUCUAUUCAUCUGUUGAUGAAUCUUUCUAAUCAUAUGUUGAAUUAGUGGCAGGCCUAAUGGAACUCUGGAUCAGACAGAAAGGAACAUUUGGAGAGGAGACCACCCCUCUCCUUCAGGGUAUUUAUCACCUCACUGCAUAUAUGGGAACGUCCUACACUUUGUCUACCCUGAGUUCUCUUUAUCCUUUGAUAUUGAUCCAAACCACUUAGCAAUGAAUACAGGCAGCACUCUCCUUCUAUUUAAAGCUCUUGAGUAGCUAUUAUUAUUUUUAUGUUUAUAAUCUUAAUACCUGCCAUUUGUAAUAUUUUUCUUUUGAAGAGCUCUCUGGAGUGCAGUGGGGUGUCUAGUGAAGACAAAUGAAUGUGAAAGCACUUUAUGCUCAACAGAUGAAAAGAGAGUCCUCUGGAUCUUGUGUUUUCCAGGAACAACUUGCCUUGCUCUUCCUUGUGGUCUUGCCCCAAUAUGGCAAACCUUACCCAAGAUGCAGCUCUUAGACUCUGCUCUUCCUUUUCUUCUCUCACAUGCAUAAACACAUAUUUCAAUUCUCACCUUUGUCCUAAUCACACCCCAAUAUGAGUUUCACUACUGGAUCCUUUAUUAAAGCCCUGCUCCAUAUUUAUAACUAUCUUUUGUAAAUUUCCUCUUUAAUAUUUAAACAAAUCUAGCAUUCCCAACAUAAAGCUCAUUAUUUAUUUAUCAUUAGAAAGACUAUUCUAUAACUUUAUUUGAUAUUCGAAAUGCAUUUUGAAAGUACAGAUUUUUUUAAUGGCCUGGCCCCAGUUAGAAAUAGAUCAGAAUAAAGAAAGAUAUAAGAUCAAGGGCAAAGAGUUGUGAUGAAUGAUCAAGUUCAGUGAGGACAGAAUAUGCUGGCAUAUUUCAGACUCUCUAAGAAUUUGAAGAUGAGAUCUAGUGUUAACCAGUUAAAAAUAGGGUUAAAAUUAAUAGAAAUUUAAAACAAUCAAGCUUUAGUGAAUAAGGUGCACUUUGGCCCAGGUGUUACAUAUAUUUUUAUUUAUGUUCUAAAGUGCAUAUCACAUUUUUAGAGUGGACAUUAGAGGAUAAUUAAUACUGUUUUAUUUAUGAGUAAUUAUAAAUACGAGCAUUACCACCAAAAGGAUAAUAUGGUUUCCUUUUGGAAUGUUUCCUUACUUAAUUAUGCACAUCUGGGAAAGUCUGAUUGAGCUGAUGCAGCCAAAUCCAUUAAGGCGAACACUCCCUUUAGCAGCAGUAGCUAAGUGGCAGGCCUGAUGAUUAGGAGGGUUUAGUGCCCCCGCCCACCCUUGUCCCCAGCACAUUCCACUCUGGUUUUUCAACUCCGUGAUCUCUAUCAAUCAUGGUUUCCAGAAACUCAGGCAGAUUUUAUAGGUCUCAUCUCUAACCUCUCAUCUAUUUCAUAUAUCCAAUUACUCAACAACUCUUUUUGACUCUUUCUUUAUAUCUCUUAUAUUCAUCCUUCUCCACCCUCAUGGAAAGAUCAUAACCUCUCAAGCUCGAGUUACUGAGACAUCUGACUGGGCCCUCCAUUUUAUACAGCUGCUACACCAAAUACCACCUUCAAAAACUUGCCCCCCAAAAUAAAACACUCCUAUUUUACUAAUGCAUUGAGUUUAAAUUUCCCCUUUCUUGUUUUUCAAGAUCUUUAUAAUCCAGCUCUUCCCUCCUCAUCUAAGUGAGUUUCCUACUACUCCCCAGCAUGGAUCCUCUCUGGUUGGAGGCACUUUCUUCCCUGCCCCAUUGCUUUGUUCCAUAAUGUUGGCUCCUAACUUGGCAUUUAUCCUUUAAUGGCCUUCCUGAACUUAACCCUACACUCAUUUCCAGCUGUUAACAUCCGAAAUAUCUUUAAGGGCUCCCAUCCCCAAAUCUUCUUCUCUUUUAGGACACAGCUCAAUUACCAUCCGUUUCAGAAAUCCUUCAUUCCAGUCUGAAUUAUGUGGGUUCCUUUAUGCAGACAUUGUACCACAGGAGUACUUGCACAUUUCUUACUUAUUGUUAUUGCUUAGCUGUUUGUAACUCUUUCCAGCCUGUUCACUCUUUGAAAGCAGGAAUUUUACCCUUUGCUUCUUCGUGACCUUAGUGCAUAGUAUUCUUGGCUGAAACAUAGAAGGUUGAAGUGAUCUCCUUAUAUUUGAACUUUGCAUUUAUGGCACUUUUCUGAAAAUUUCAGACUUAAUUAUAUACCACUUUUGAGUCAUUCAAAUAUCCAUUUGUUGUUGUUUUCCCAACAAGGUUGAAAAUUUCUUGUUACAGAAGGAUCUUAUCAUGGUGACCAUGCUGAAUGGUUCCCACAGAUCUUUCAGAGGACGCAGUUACAUGGUAGGAAAUCAGUAAAUUCUUAUUUAAUUAAGUAAGCAAAUGCUAUUACUGAUAAUAUUACAAACCAAAAAUAAUGUAACCCAAAUUGGUAGAGAAGCAAAGAAGUUGUGAAUUAUUACGCAGUAUCAUUCCUUAAAAGCAAGGUGAUCAUUUUUGUCCCAAGGAAAAUUUUACUCAAUUGCUAUAUACAUUAAAACAAGUAGCAGCAUUAGAUUGUAUCAUACCAGCUAAUGAAUAUAAAUGUUCUAUUUUAAGAGAUAAUUGAUUACUUUACAAGUUUCUGAUUAUUUCCUUAUACAUUUUCUUCUCUCAUUGCCUAUGUUGGCUCACAUUUCCUCUUGUUCACUUAGGGUUAUCAUAAUCCAAAUCUUUACAUCUGCUUAUCAUUUUCUCUACCCUCCUACCUAUCAAAACUGCAUGGCCCUUAUUUCCAAGCUAGGUAUUUCCUCAAUCAAAGCUCUACCUGUAACCUAUUUUUCCCAAAACAGCGAAUAUUACUGGUAUCAGCUCAUUAUCUUUGCUUCCAAACAUCAAAAAAGGCGUCUAUAGACACUUACCAACCUGAUUCUAUCCUAAAAUCAAUACUCUGUCAUGCUUUCUUGCAGUAGAAAAAUAGAACACUACUGGAAAUAAAAAGAUUCUAAUUUUAAUUUUGCUAUUGAAAAAAAAAUUGGGAGUUCCCGUCGUGGAGCAACAGAAACAAAUCCGACUAGAAACCAUGAGGCAGCAGGUUCCAUCCCUGGCCUCGUUCAGUGGGUUAAGGAUCUGGCGUUGCUAUGAGCUGUGGUGUAGGUCGCAGAAGUGGCUCAGAUACUGCAUUUCUGUGGCUGUGGUGUAGGCCAGUGGCUACAGCUCCAAUUAGACCCCUAGCCUAGGAACUUCCAUAUGCCACAGGUGCAGCCCUAAAAAG